rnacentral:rRNA from 1 species
GCUGUUAGGCAAUGUGGUGUGCGGGUCGGUCAGCGGGAUCGUCACUCCACUCGAAGUCCAGCAUUGAGUAUGGUUAUCACUGGAUUUGGCCCAUAGAGGGUGAGAGGCCCGUACGAGUGGAGGUUCAGAUGUGUGCGACGAUUCACCAGACCGACCUCAGAGUCGGGUUGUUUGAGAUUGCAGCCCAAAGAGGGUGGUAAACUCCAUCCAAGGCUAAAUACUGGCACGAGUCCGAUAGCGAACAAGUACCGUGAGGGAAAGUUGAAAAGUACUCUGAAGAGAGAGUAAACAGUACGUGAAGCCGCAUGCAGGUAAACGGGUGGCGUCAAGCUGCGAGCCCGGAGGAUUCAGCUGAUUAGGAUGUAGUGUACGCGUGCCUGGUGCGUCGAGAGACCGGAAUAAGAUGUUUAGCGGUCCAUUCCUCAAUUAGGAGUGGGGUGCUAUUGGUGUGCAUGUGCUUGCAUAUGUGUGCCGAUUGUCGCUAUACAUGCCGGAUGGUAACCGGAGUAUGCCGCUCAUCUGUUGGGUCACCUAAUCAGUGCAUUUUCUCCGUGGUGAACACCACGACCGGUGGAACUGCCAGUCUGCUGCCAUCAAGUCGUGUCCUUCUGACCCCUCUAUUUCUUUGUCUCUUGCAGCUAUUGCUAUCUAUCUAUUAUUAUCCUCUCCUUCUGGGGGAUGGUGAUAUUAGUGGGUGGUGAUGGUUGUGAGUGAUGCGAGGAGUGGAUGUGUGUGUUGGGUGGAUACGAUCGCAGGUGGAGUUAGUAGACGGCGUAGUGGUGCAUUAGUACCGCCGCGUGUUAUCGUUUACUCUCCAUCGUAAGCGGUUAGUGGAGGUGACUGAGUACUGUAACUACUUCUCCAUUAAUCGGCGGAUAGCAGCGGUAAAAAUGACUGUGCAGGGCACUGGAGUUAUCCACCUCGAUCAUUCUCUUUAUUCAUUCAUUUAUGUGGGUGGAUGGAGGGAGUGAAUAUGGUACCCGACACGUGCGUUACAGGUGCUAUGUAAUCGGGGCAUGCCGCUGUCUGUCUUGUAUUUGGCCUGACUGUCGUGUUGCCUACGCAAAGUAGGUCCGGCAGUGGUUAUAUAUACUUGGCAUUGGCAGUAUGUAGCGUGCUUCGGGUGUGUGUGGUACUUGUAAAUGAGGUGAAAUAGUCAGUGGUGCUGUGGUAGACUAGCUACCCGACCCGUCUUGAAACACGGACCAAGGAGUUUAACAUGUGUGCGAGUCAAAGGGUCCUACGAAACCCCAAGGCGCAAUGAAAGUGAAGUUCAUGCUGUACUUUUGUAUAUGCGCAGUGCAGUAUGGCGAGGUGAGAUCUCCUUGUACUCAUGACACACUCCGCAGUAUACCUUACUGGGCAUUAUUGGGGCAAGGAGCGCAUCACCGGCCCGUCGCAUGUUGUGGUCAUAGGUGUAUUUGUAUGUGGAGAGGUGUGUGUAUAUGUGUGUAC